UACGAAGGGGGCUAGCGUUGCUCGGAAUCACUGGGCGUAAAGCGCACGUAGGCGGACUCUUAAGUCGGUGGUGAAAUCCUGGAGCUCAACUCCAGAACUGCCUUCGAUACUGAGAGUCUCGAGUCCGGGAGAGGUGAGUGGAACUGCGAGUGUAGAGGUGAAAUUCGUAGAUAUUCGCAAGAACACCAGUGGCGAAGGCGGCCAACUGGUCCGGAACUGACGCUGAGGUGCGAAAGCGUGGGGAGCAAACAGG
rnacentral:rRNA from 1 species